rnacentral:rRNA from 1 species
AGCGAACGCUGGCGGCAGGCCUAACACAUGCAAGUCGAACGGAUCCUUCGGGAUUAGUGGCGGACGGGUGAGUAACACGUGGGAACGUGCCCUUUGGUUCGGAACAACUCAGGGAAACUUGAGCUAAUACCGGAUGUGCCCUUCGGGGGAAAGGUUUAUCGCCAUUGGAGCGGCCCGCGUCUGAUUAGCUAGUUGGUGAGGUAAAGGCUCACCAAGGCGACGAUCAGUAGCUGGUCUGAGAGGAUGAUCAGCCACAUUGGGACUGAGACACGGCCCAAACUCCUACGGGAGGCAGCAGUGGGGAAUCUUGCGCAAUGGGCGAAAGCCUGACGCAGCUAUGCCGCGUGAAUGAUGAAGGUCUUAGGAUUGUAAAAUUCUUUCACCGGGGACGAUAAUGACGGUACCCGGAGAAGAAGCCCCGGCUAACUUCGUGCCAGCCGCCGCCGUAAAAC